ensembl:lncRNA
CGAGGAGGCCUUGGCAAUGAAACACGGUUGGCUUGGCUGGCUCUCAGGGGCUCUUUGCCGGUGCCCAGGAGGGAGUCUGCACAGAGCUGACUUCGGGCAGCUGCCUCGGAUGUUUGGGUGGCCAACCUCCUGCAGCCUGAGGGGAAGCCAGGCACAAGUAGGCCAGCACCGUCCCGUCCCUCUGCAGAAGCGCCAUCGGGGAGGAAGCCACAGAGCCACACCAGCCUCAGGAAUGGGGACAACACAGUGCUGAGGGGAGGGACACGCAGUGCUGCCAUCCCCAUGCUGGAGACGGUGGGUUCCACCCGGGGGAUGGAGCCAGCGGCCUGGCACCCGGCAUGCUACAGAGCCAGUGUUGCACCCACGGGUGCCAAGGAUGCCCCUCCACACCGGGCACCCCCAGGUCGCCAGGCCAUGUGCUGAGCCACCUCAGGACAGGCAACUGCCAGCCGAGACUGGGCCUCUUCCCCAUGCCAGACUGCAGGCUCCAGGGCAGGCAUGAACCAAGAGCAACACGGAGCCCUUGAACCCUGCCGAGCCUGGCUGCCAGGGUCCAGCAGAUCCAUCCCAGGAGACUUUGGAAGAACAAGACCUCAGGCCUGAGCCUGCUGUGGCCUUCAGGAGACACCAGAUCCGCAGCUCCCCGGGCAGCUCCGGCGGGGCCAGAUCUCCGCUCUCUCCUCAGUGUCCGGGGACCAUGCUGCUGGCUGAUCUUCCUGCAGUCCCAGAGCCGGGCCAGAUUAAACCAUGGAGGAGCUGUGGAGACAACGCUGCGGUUUACAGUGACGGCUGGCGGGCGCUGCCCAGAAUAUUUUUCCAGUGAGGUGCUGAUGAGAAACGGCUCUGAGGACCAUAAAAUCGAUCUCGUGCAUUUGUCCCGACAGCUGCUUGUUCCAGGGAACUUUGCUUCAAAUUCAAAAUAAAGAGCCUCACUGGAUGUCAGCCUUGGGAGGAGGAGACCAGCCAGCGAGGCAGGCCCAGCCCAGGUCACCCGAACACUGUCCGGGCAGGUCCAGGGCACCUGCCUCCAGGUGUGCGACUUGUGACAAACACACUAGGCUGCCCACUGACGGGAGUGGGCCCUGCACCAGGCAGGUUCUCUGGGGAACAGAAUCAUGGAGAACGUGGUUUUGAUCAUGCACGGGGUUACUAGUCCGGCCCACGGUCUGGGCGGAGAGUCCACGGCCGUACAGCAAGGAGGGUCCAGGAGCUGCCCAGCCAGGAGCUGAAGCCACAGAACACAAGGGCCAGGACUGAAGCCCCAGCCCAACUGAGGCCCGAAGCCCCCUGGAGAGUAGCCGGGAAUCUGCUCCAGAAGCUGGAGGCCGCCCUCGGAAGGCCAUGGUGAAGACUGGUGCUCUCGCACCUAGCGAAUCUGGGCCACAGGCCUACUGGCUGGUGCCACCCACAUCGGCUGGGCCGCCCCUCUCGGUUGGCUGGCCCCCACGUCAGUCAUCCACAGACACACAGGAGGGCUACAGGAGGGCUUCUGUGGGGGUGGUGAUGCCCUGACCAGUGCUCUCUGCAAAUCCAGAGCUCAGCAGUGCACCUACUUCCCCUUCUGAAGCUUCCUGCUUGGCCAGCCUGACACCCUCUCCUGCGCCCCUCCAGCAUGUGGCUUUGCCCAUGGAGAAUGUGCCCCUUGUCCUGAGAUCCCUGGGGAAUCGGGGCCACCAAGGGCAGGGGACAGUGAGGAUGGCAGCGGCCGAUGAUGGCAGUGGCCAUGCCAGCCUCCCUGCUGGCUUCCCACCUCCUUGGGUGCCCAGGGCCCAGGCCUCCGGGGGGCUUCCUGCCGGCUCUUCUGUGUGACCCCCCCAGUGCCCCGCCCCUGGUGUCAAACUGACCUCAGCCUCACUAGAAGAAGCCGUGUGGAGCCUGUGGGCCUGGCCUCCGAGCACAGCCUCAGGCAGCAGGGUGCCCUAAAUGUGCUUCUCCAGGUCCUGGUCCCCAAAAUGCUCCCCUUGUGUCCAG